ACGGGUGAGUAAUGCCUAGGAAUCUGCCUGGUAGUGGGGGAUAACGCUCGGAAACGGACGCUAAUACCGCAUACGUCCUACGGGAGAAAGCAGGGGACCUUCGGGCCUUGCGCUAUCAGAUGAGCCUAGGUCGGAUUAGCUAGUUGGUGAGGUAAUGGCUCACCAAGGCGACGAUCCGUAACUGGUCUGAGAGGAUGAUCAGUCACACUGGAACUGAGACACGGUCCAGACUCCUACGGGAGGCAGCAGUGGGGAAUAUUGGACAAUGGGCGAAAGCCUGAUCCAGCCAUGCCGCGUGUGUGAAGAAGGUCUUCGGAUUGUAAAGCACUUUAAGUUGGGAGGAAGGGCAGUUACCUAAUACGUAUCUGUUUUGACGUUACCGACAGAAUAAGCACCGGCUAACUCUGUGCCAGCAGCCGCGGUAAUACAGAGGGUGCAAGCGUUAAUCGGAAUUACUGGGCGUAAAGCGCGCGUAGGUGGUUUGUUAAGUUGGAUGUGAAAUCCCCGGGCUCAACCUGGGAACUGCAUUCAAAACUGACAAGCUAGAGUAUGGUAGAGGGUGGUGGAAUUUCCUGUGUAGCG
rnacentral:rRNA from 1 species